rnacentral:rRNA from 1 species
CUCACAGAUUAAGCCAUGCAUGUCUAAGUACACACGAAUUAAAAGUGAAACCGCAAAAGGCUCAUUAUAUCAGUUAUGGUUCAUUAGACCGUUAACAGUUACUUGGAUAACUGUGGUAAUUCUAGAGCUAAUACAUGCAAUAUAAACACGGACCUUUUGGAACGUGUGCUCUUAUUAGGCUAAAACCAAGCGAUUUUUUCGGAAAUCGUUAAUAUGGUUGAACUCUAGAUAAUUUGCCGAUCGUAUGGUCUCGUACCGACGACAGGUCUUUCAAAUGUCUGCCCUAUCAACUAUUGAUGGUAGUAUCUAGGACUACCAUGGUUGCAACGGGUAACGGGGAAUCAGGGUUCGAUUCCGGAGAGGGAGCCUGAGAAACGGCUACCACAUCUAAGGAAGGCAGCAGGCGCGUAAAUUACCCACUCCCAGUUCGGGGAGGUAGUGACGAAAAAUAACAAUACAGGACUCAUAUCCGAGGCCCUGUAAUUGGAAUGAGUACACUUUAAAUCCUUUAACAAGGACCUAUUGGAGGGCAAGUCUGGUGCCAGCAGCCGCGGUAAUUCCAGCUCCAAUAGCGUAUAUUAAAGUUGUUGCGGUUAAAACGUUCGUAGUUGAAUUUGUGCUUCAUACGGGUAGUACAACUAUAAUUGUGGAUUGUACAUUACCUUAUGUAUGUAAGCGUAUUAUCGGUGGAGUUCUAAUAUGUAAUGGUACUUGUAUCAUUAUGUAUACCUCCUAUUUAAACCUACUUCAGUGCUCUUCAUCGAGUGUUGUUGUGGGCCGAUUCU